UGAGAUGAAAUUGUUCUUUUUGAGAUUUUGGAGCUAAAAAUGAUCACAACUUAUAACUUGAAAUUCUAAAUUACGUUUUAUUCCUAGGUUUAAAGUAUUUUACUUGAAUUUAUCUGGUAUAAAGUUACUAUAAGUUACUAAUAUAUAAAACAUUAAGAACAUGGCUUAGUUAGAGCGGAAAAGGCUUCUUCCAAAUAUGUUUCAACAUUUAAUACAAAUAUCUUUAUUGUUUCAUGUGAUUUCUAUGACUUGCAUAAAAUCAACGGUAGAUAGGCAAAAAGUGAAUCUUGUUGUGUGUUGAUUAUAUAUGUUUAAGUUGCAUACUUCACCCACAUAGGUGGAUAAAUUGAAUAUAUUCAGAAUUCUAAAUAUACAAAUGUAAUUUUUAAAAAGUGUAUUUUCUACAGCAUUGCUGAGGAGCUGAGAUAUUAAUGUUAUGACUAGCUAAAGUGUCUGGUUGUGUUUGGGGACAAAAUGCCUGCUGGAGAAAUAGGCUAGUAAGAGGUGAAGGUGAAGAUCAUUAGAGGUUUCAGAGCUGGCUGGGAUGGGAUGCUGGGGUUGUGUAACUGUGCCUAGAGGGCGGGGUUCCUGUACAUUCCUACUUCACCAGAUAACCUGCCCCCAGCACCACUCCAGCUUCUGCCAGACAGAUGGAACUCUCCAACAUGAUAAUCUGCGCAGCCACUCCAACAAGCAGGACUGCCUGAAGUUGUCUGAGGAUGCGGAAGAAAAGAUUUGCGGCCUGGGAGCGCUCCUAACCCCCCAGAUCGAAGUUUUUCACUGGUCAGUACAAUGAAGGUUGAUGGCAUGAUCAUCCAACUUGCCUCAAAGGAUUCAUUGGUGUGCUGUUGUCAAGCAGAAGUUUCCAAAUAUGAGCUCUCUAACUCAGAGGAAGUUAUUGGAUCCAGGCAGAAAGGCGCCUAGGAACUCCCUAAGUGUGCAUAAUUUGUCUUCUGAGAAAGUUGCUUCAGCAUUUUUUGUUUGUUUUUGGAAUACUUCUCUCUACAGUAUCCUCCAGACUCUAAACUACUAGACAGUUCCCUAAGUUCCAUCAGAUCUGUCCUAUUUCAGGGGGGUAAGAGAUCAAUCGAAGGACUUAUAUGCAUGCAUAUAAGCAUAACCAAUGGA